rnacentral:rRNA from 2 species
UACGAGGGGUGCAAGCGUUGUCCGGAUUUACUGGGCGUAAAGCGUUUCGUAGGCGACUUUGUAAGUUAAACUUCAAAGACCGAGGCUCAACUUCGGGAAGGGGUUUAAUACUGCAAAGCUUGAAAUAUUUCGGGGUUACUGGAACUAUCGGUGUAGGGGUGAAAUCCGUUGAUAUCGAUAGGAACUCCAAGGGCGAAGGCAGGUAACUAGGAAUUAUUUGACGCUGAGGAACGAAAGCUAGGGGAGCGAAAGGG